AUUGUUAUCAUUAUGUUUGUCUGGAAAUCAGCAGAAUGGGGGUGUUGAUUUCCAGCGGGUGGGUUUUCCUUUGUCCCUUUUUUUUUUUUUUUUUUUUGUUCUAACCCAGAUUUUCAUGUUUAACAGGCCCACAGCUGAUCCAUCCCCCAGUACACAAUUGAGACAGAGGAGGUUAAAGCACUCUGAACGCAUGGGACCAUAUUGCAGGUAUUUGUGCCUGUGGCAGGGUCUUGGUCUUUUGUUCUCCUCCUGCUCCUCCUCUGCAUCACAAGACGACCCGCAUGCACACGAGCUUCAGACAGACAGAUAUUUCUUACAACCUUCAGCCCAAAUGCUUCACAGGUGCUCGAGACAAAGUUGAGUAAAUUUCUGACAUAUUGGAGGAAGCAUCACCUGUGUAUACUGGCAUGAAUCUUCGGCUGAAGGUGUUUACAUAUUUCUGCUGCAAUGUUAUUCUCUGACAUUUUUUCUUGCAGAUUCGCUUCACAGCCCCCCUCACACAAACACACAGACUGCUCCUUAGAAGGGGAGAUUCAAGCUUGUGCUGAGGGAAUAUACGUAGAAUCAGCAUUAAUAUCUAAACCAUAUAAACACUUUUUUAAGACUUUAUGAAAAUACCUUUAAAUAAUAUAUUUUUUCUUCAUUCAUACUCUGUAAAUCAUGUACAUAAAUAUUAUUUUAUAAUACUAUAUAUUGUAAAUUCUGUUAAAAAAUAAGUUGUCAAUAAAACAUAACACCAAACUGUAGCUGUUUUGAAACAUACUGUGCAUUAUACAAUGCACAAAAGGCCGCAAAAAUUCCUAUAUAUUACUAUAUGUAUCAGAGACUGAUGAUGGGUUCAUGAAGUGUAUGGAGCUAUCUUUAGAGGAUUGAUUUCCCAUACUGCCACGCAGUUGGCUGCAUUUCUAUUCCAUGCCUGUGGCUCUGUGACCCCUGGUUCUCCUUUGAUGUGGCAGGCAGAAGCACAAACCAGG
rnacentral:lncRNA from 1 species